AACAAACGCUGGCGGCGUGCCUAAUACAUGCAAGUCGAACGGGGAAAGCUUUCGGGUGCGUACUAGUGGCGCGCGGGUGAGGAACGCGUGGAUAAUCUGCCUUAGAGUGGGGGAUAACUAGUCGAAAGAUUAGCUAAUACACCAUAAGACCACGAAAGCUGCGGCUUUUGAGGUCAAAGGUUUUUCGCUCUAGGACGAGUCCGCGUAAGAAUAGCUAGUUGGUUAGGUAACGGCUCACCAAGGCGACGAUAUGUAACUGGUCUGAGGGGAGGAUCAGUCACGACUGAAACGGGACACGGCAGAGGCGCCUAUGGGAGGAAGCAGUAGAGAAUAGUGCAGAAAGGAGGAAUCUCUGAUGAAGCGCCGCCGCGUGUGUGAUGAAGUUCUUGGGGUCGUAAAGCUCUGUCGCAGGGGAAUAACACAAUGAAGGUACCCUGUAAGAAAGGAUCGGCUAACUUCGUG
rnacentral:rRNA from 1 species